rnacentral:lncRNA from 1 species
AGAAUAUGGAAAAUUAGAAUAUACCAUAGUGAAGUUAUAAAAAUGAUGGCUGGGAAGGUAAUUCAAGUUAAGUUUGGUGCUGUUGCAGUUCUCACUGUCAACAGUAACCAGCUGGUGUGUUCAAAGCUACUGCAUUAUCUUUAAACCAUACUGCACUUAGUUACUUCUUUGACUUCUUUGUUAAAUUUACUCUUAGAUUUGAAGGGUGGUUGAGUAACUGCAUGUGUCUGUAAUAGUUUACAUUAACUUAGAAAGAUUUUCUUCUGCACCAUUAAUUCGAAAUCAUAUUAUAUACUGUGUCUUCUGCGGGUGUGCUGGAGGUUCUCACAGUGCCCGGUGUGUGCAGCUAGGCUGAAGCAGACUGCCAGACAGCAAACUAGGAAAGCAUAACAGAAACUUGGGGAACUAGGGUCCUUUGGAAGAGCAAGGUGUGCUAAAAAUGUGGGAAUAAAUCAGUCCCUUCCUGUUAUGUUUCAGUGGCGUGGGUCCUUUGCAUUUUAGUUCCUGGUUGCUGUUUCCCAGGAGGCAGGGCAGUAAUUACCUUAGCCUGAUAAACGAAUGGAGUCUACAGCACGUACAGUUGCCUGUUUUCCCCCUGUGCUCCUUGCUGGGAGUCCCUGCUAUUUCUUUUGUCUUGGCACUAAUGUUCUUGUUCCCAUGCAGAAAAUAGAUUUACUAAAGAAGCUUCUUGAAAAAAGGUCGUAGAAUAAUGUUCACAGGAGUUUCAGGCUAUGACCAGAAGUGGCACCAGCUCUGAGGGUGAGAGGCUUGUGUUUUCUGUUUUGUUACUAUACACACAAAAUGUUUGUUUAGGCAACAAUUGAUGUGUGGUUUUAUUAUACUGGUGCUAACUUGAGAGUGCUUUACCUGUUUUAUGGAGUUUUUUGACGGGAACUUUGAAGUGGAUAAAC